CUGUCCUCCGCCCUCAGGCAUCGCGGGGCUCAAGCGCCGCCGCUUCUCUUUCCAGUCUGUCCUUGUCCUCUCCCAGAGCCGUGGCGGAGGAUCCCACUGGAGGGGAAACGCUCUCCGCGCCUGGUGCGGGCUCCCGGCUGGCCGCGGAUGCCCCCACAGAGCGGGAUGUGCUUUGCCUGCGCCCGGCUUGCUACAGCGGCCAGAGGGGAAGAGAGGUCAGGCCCCACCUAAAGUGUUUGGCCCGUAGUCUUCAGCUACUGAGGCAUGAUUUCUGUGCAGUGUUUUUUUUUUUUUUUCCCCACUGUUACGGUGGUCAGGCAUUGGAAUAAGUUGCCCAGGGAGGCGAUGGAAACACCAACCGUGGGUGUGUUCAGGAGGCACCUGGGCCUGGCAUUGAUGUGGUUUGGGGGUGACAGUGCUGCUCUGAUGCUCGGACUGACGACUGAUGUUCUGAUCUAGACGGGCUUUUCCAACCUUGAUGAUCCUAUACUUCUAUAAUUACAGUGUGUGGGCAUUCUUUUUUUCCUCUUCCCAGAGUUGUCUGAGGCAUCAGCAGCCCUUAUUUACAGCAUGCUCUUGCCCUGUUGCUGUGCUGUAUGGUGCUCUGCUGUGAGCCAGCCAAGGGGGUUAUGAACAGCCUCCUUGUCAGCUGAGGAGGCACUUCCAACCAAACAGUGGACAUCAAAAGGGACAGCUAAUUUUGAGUGCCCAAAUGAAGACCUCAGGGUCCCACAGUUCCACAGUGGGAGCUGCUGUAGUAUAUCGUGUAGUGUUUCCUUAAUUCUGAGCAUAGCCAUCACCGAUGCCCCCAAAACUUUUGUGAAUUCAGAGAAUAGACUUAACAGAGGGGAAAAAUUCACUGGCCAUCUUCAGAAAUUGGGUUCAAGUGACUUCCUCCUUCUCCCAAGGAAGAUUAUGAUGUGUUCUGUCUUUACAAUUACUGACAUCCAUUCCUUCUAUAUCUUCAAGGAUUUGUUGCAACAAAUCUGGCAACGUUUUGAGGAGAAAACUGUUCUGUUGACUACAUUCCUGUUGAAAAGGACGGUGUUACAUUUCUUAUCUUUGGAAAUACAAGAUACAGAUCACUUUCCUUUUUUGCAUUUUUUAAAGAGAAUUACAUUGAAGGAUACUACUGUAAAAGAAGAUGCAAAUAGAAAACAAUCCCAUCACAAAGAAAGAUAUCUAGGAAAGCACAAUAUAACUUUUGCAGUUGCAAGGGAGAAGCUGCUAAAGAGGAACACACCCAUGUUUCAAUAACUAUAAAAAUAUGUUUAUUGUUCUGACACCUGAGACUACUCCAAAAUUCUAAAGGGUACUAUCCUAAGGAAGGGCUUUGACUGUGGACUCAACAACACCUGGACAUGCCUGUGGCAUCUCAUAAGUGACUUCUCCCAAUGGAGAGGAGAAAAACUAGAAUAGAGAAAACCCAUGAGAACUGGAAAGGAUCAGUGACAAAUGCUACAGAGGAGAAUCAUCCUACAAGUUUCACAUACUAUAAAUGUACAGAUUUGCUAUAUCGGGUGUGCUGCUGGAACAUCUGAUUUUCAGCUUUGUAUCUGUUUCCACAGUAAAACACCAAAACUUCGACUUACAUUUUCACCUGCACAAUCAUCUAAUAGAUACACUUUCCAUCUACCCUAUAAUUUUUUCUCUUUCUCUGUUCCUCUCUUGGAACUUGUUCAGACCUAUUCUCUAGCCAAAAGUGGGUGGAUUUCUUUCCCUUCAGUGUACUCCUCUUCGCAUUUCUUUUUGCUUUCUUGUCACCUUUCUAUGUGUCAGCCUUGUUCCAUUUCUUCUCCCCGGUGGCAUUCAGAACUCCUGCUACUUUCAUACACUCUCACCAUUUUAAGCUGCUUUCCCACAUGCUGCCUUUCACAGAACACCUUCCAUCCACUGAUUUCCAAAGCACAGAUGCUUGUUCGCUUUCCAUGAUGGCAACAACAGCUCUAAAGGAAACAUAUCGUUUCCCCUCCUGCAAUUCAUGCACAAAUGCCUGGCAUGUGCUGCCUGGAGAAAGCCUUUCAACUUUGAAUUUCCUUGCUUUUGUGGAAUCUGUGAAAAAGUCUGAUAAAUUACAGCUUUGGCAGUUAUUUCAAAUAACUUUAUUUGCAGCCAGCUGAGGUAAAAUCUGUCAAUGGUGCCAUCCUCGUGUUCUUUCAAAGGUUGUUGGUGUUUCAUGAGGGAGCUCAAAGUCAAGCUCAAGGUUCAAAGGGAGGCUCACAUUUCAUUUUUUUUCCAGGAAGGGUAGCUAAUGGUGCUAGGACUGCCUUACAAGACAUAAGAGCUGAGUUCUAGUUGAGGCCAUGAGUCUCUUCCAGUACAUGUGUUUUGUCACUUUAUCUCUCGCCUGAUGAUUUCUCAUCUGUGAAACAGCUAUAAUACUAACUGGGAGCUGUAAUAUUAGUUAACAACAGACAAGAAGACCCCAACUAAUCAUAUGGGUGGCAAGGUUUUGGAGUUGACCUUGGACCUGGUUUUAGUGUUGGCAGUUUGGGCAAGGCCAAGUCUGCAGCUCCUCUUACCAUGGCUCAAGAGACACCAGCUGUGACACACAGGGUGCAGCAGCAACUUCUCACAUUGUCCCAAGGGCUGAGAGGAAGAAAUAAUACAGAGCCUUGGCUUUGAAAGACACUGAGGCCUGAGCUUGCAGGAACUGUGGUGCACCUGGGGACAUCCAGUGAUACUCAGGAUAAACACUAGCAUGGCAAGGUUUUCCAUGUGCGUGAGCAGGAUUUCAGUGCAUGCUAAUGAAAACAAGCACGGUGUUCCUGACCCUCUACUCCCAGAAGCUGUCCAAAGCUGAAGUCUCAUGGGAAGCCUUUGCUGAGCCAUCUGGGUGGAUGGAAGCUAUAUGUGACUGUCUCCCAUCUACACCCUCUGGUGACCUGAAAACAAGUGGUGAGAACAUGUCAAUUCUGCUUUAACCAGUAGCACUCUGAGAAGAAAUCUAUAACCACACUGGACUUCAAGAAUCUUGGAUGAAGAAGGAUGAUCAUCUUUUAAGGCAAAAAAUCCUGCCUGUGUAGGAUUCUCAGAACUGUCUUUGAGCAAAAUCUACUUAUGGUAAGAGACAGAUUAUUAUCAUUAAUGUUACAUGCAUGAUUUAAUUAGGAAAAGCCACACAGUUCAUGAAAACAAAAUAUUUCCAGCCAAUAGUAUUACUAAUUACCUAGAAGAUCAUGAAUCAAAACAAAUUUAAUAAGAUGCAGGAGAAAAGGCUGACAAGAAUCUCAUGAAUUUCAGGAAAGAAAUGUGAAAUCCUGCACGCAGAUCAGAACAAUAUUUGUGGUAACAAAGCUGGGGAAGCAGCUAAAAAGCAGCCUUGCAGGGAAGGCCCUGGGGACCCUGGUAUUCAACAAUCUGAACAGGAGCCAGCAGUGCAGCCUUGCAGCAAAGAUUGCUGGGGUGCACUAGGAAGAGCACUGCUGGCAGGUUAAUGGAUGUGAUCCUCUCUACUCAGCUCUGGUGAGACACACCUGGACAGCUGGGUCAAGAUCUGAGCUCCACCAUGUCAGAGAGACAUGGACGCACUGGAACAAGGACUGUGGAAGGCCAUGGAGAUGAUACAUGGGCUGAAGCAUCUGAUAUUUGAGAGGCUGAGACAUUUGGGAUUGUUUAGCAAAGAGAAGAGGAAGGUCCAGGGAAUGCAUGAUCAAUGUGUAUAAGUACCCAAAUGGGGGGAGGCAAGUAGAAAAGACAGAACCAAGCUUUUCUCUGAUAGGACAAGAGGCACAUGGGCACAAAUUGAAGUAUACCAAAUUCCAUGUAAACAUAAGAAAAGUUGGGUCUUUUUUUUACUAUGAAUGUGGUCAAACACUGGAAGAGGCAGCCCAGAGAUGCUAUGGAACCUACAUACUCACUCAACACAUGACUGGACACAGGACCAACCUGCUCUGCUCUGAGCAGCGAGGUUGGUCUGUGUGAUCUCCAGAGGUCUUUUCCAAUCCCAGCAAUUCUUUUAUUUGCUAGAUAUGUGCCCCAUCCUAGUCCUGAAUAUAUCUCUCUUAUGCAUGCCCAAGAUGCGUUUGGAUUUUUUGACAGACUUUUCACCACAUCAAUGUGAAGGCAUUGCCAUUGUAUAUUAGAAUGUGUAACAUUAAUGUAAAUAUAACUGAGAAGAUCAAGAGAUUGAAUCACAUGUCAUGUAGCAUUCUGGGGGACGCUGGCAGGAAAACAAGAAUUGCAGUAGAAGAGUAAUUGUCAAGUAAUGACAUGUCAAAACUCAACUUUUACCAACUCUAAAUCAUUUAGUAUAGAUUAGUGUAGUUCCCUUGAUAUGUUUCUUUGGGUCCUGGAAAGAAAUUAAUAACCCACUGUAUCUUGUACAUGCAAUGCAGGGGGUAAUUUGGACAAAAUGAUGUAAUGUUUUUGAAAACACGACAAGAAAAUUAAAGAUGAAGAAACUCCAGAAUGACUUUAUGAAUGAAAAGAACCUGCAAUUGCUUUCCAUCCUUUGACAGAUGUUACUUAAACUGACAUACUAUAUCAUGCAACAAAGCUUACAGGGGAAAUACAGGAUUAUGAGAAAAUGUAUAAAUCACUAUCAUUAUUGUAAAAAAUUCUUUUAUUCUACACAAAGAGACAAAAAGAGUAGGGAUACUUUUUAGGAAGAACUUGAUGUAGGCUAAGUUACCAGUAUUUUCAGGAAUUAGCAAAUUAAUCUAUUUCUUUUUAAAAAAGAGUGAAGUUAAAAAGAAGGGAGAGCUUUGUGAUGUAUCCCAAUCUCACACAAUCUUUCCCCCUCUUCUCCUGCCAUUGUAGCAUCUGGAAGUCUUGCCUAUUUUUAAAGUAAAACCAGGAAGACUCUCUCCUGCCUUCUUCUGUACGGAGAAGUAAAAUAAUCAGAAGGGGAAGAAACAGUCAUUGUCAAGAAAUGAACCACCUCUAAUCGUCUAAGGAAGCUCUGGAUUGAGAUUAGUAUCCACAGCAAAAAGGAAUCUACAGACACUACUGUGUGCGAGUAAUGCUGUGGGCGCUCGUCCAAGCUCAGGAACGAGUGGAAUGUCCCCCUUCUCCAAGGUGAAAGACUGCAUAGACAUAUGUUUUCCACGGUGACUGGCAUUACCAAACAACCUGAUGGAGAGCUGACAACACCUUGGCAAGCAGGGAAUAAUAAGGUAAAUUAUCAGCAAUAUUAAGAGAACCCAGUUACGAGCCUCACCUUUACUUUGGCCUGCGACGUCUGGGGCUGCUACUUGGGGGAAAAAAAAAUAGACAAGAGCCUCCCUUUUUACCUUCAGCUUUCCCCCUGCGUGUGUGGGUGGACGUGUGGGUUAUACGUGCAUAAUCGCACGCAGACUGGCGCUUAAACACGUUUCGGUGUCCGAGGCUCCAUGAUGCGUUUCCCACCGCGCUGGGAAGGAGCGGGACAGGAGGGGGAGCUCUCGCCGCAGCCGCCGGGCGGGGAUGCUGCUCAUCGGGCCGGGGCCGCGACCCCUCCGCCUCCCGCCGCCCCCGCCGGGCAGCACCGGGCUCCGGGAUGGUCCCGCUUGUCCCGGCUUUGCCUCUGAAAACCGGCACGUUGUUUGCAGAGCGGCCCCAGAGCACCGCUCGCUUGUUGCUGCUGCCUUCUAAAAACCUUUGGCUUUGAAGCCGUCGUUCUGCUUACAUAUUUAGCAGCUGGAAAAAUCAGGCCUGCUUGUUUAUCUCGUCCUCCCCAGCAGGAAAAAAACCCGAGAAGAAAUAGCUCAUUAAUAAUAUUAAAGAGACUUAUGCAUUGAUAAAGGCCAAAAUAA